rnacentral:rRNA from 1 species
GAUGAACGCUGGCGGCGUGCCUAAUACAUGCAAGUCGAGCGAACAGACGAGGAGCUUGCUCCUCUGACGUUAGCGGCGGACGGGUGAGUAACACGUGGGUAACCUACCUAUAAGACUGGGAUAACUUCGGGAAACCGGAGCUAAUACCGGAUAAUAUAUUGAACCGCAUGGUUCAAUAGUGAAAGACGGUUUUGCUGUCACUUAUAGAUGGAUCCGCGCCGCAUUAGCUAGUUGGUAAGGUAACGGCUUACCAAGGCGACGAUGCGUAGCCGACCUGAGAGAGUGAUCGGCCACACUGGAACUGAGACACGGUCCAGACUCCUACGGGAGGCAGCAGUAGGGAAUCUUCCGCAAUGGGCGAAAGCCUGACGGAGCAACGCCGCGUGAGUGAUGAAGGUCUUCGGAUCGUAAAACUCUGUUAUUAGGGAAGAACAAAUGUGUAAGUAACUAUGCACGUCUUGACGGUACCUAAUCAGAAAGCCACGGCUAACUACGUG